AACCGCCAGUGGAAAUCGAUUUCCACUUGCAGUUGUCUUAACUGAACCGCCUGUGGAAAUCUAUUUCCACUGGCGGUU
rnacentral:pre_miRNA from 7 species